UACAGAGGGUGCGAGCGUUAAUCGGAAUUACUGGGCGUAAAGCGCACGUAGUCGGCUUUGCAAGUCGGGUGUGAAAUCCCCGGGCUCAACCUGGGAACUGCAUUUGUGACUGCACGGCUGGAGUGCGGCAGAGGGGGGAUGGAAUUCCGCGUGUAGCAGUGAAAUGCGUAGAUAUGCGGAGGAACACCGAUGGCGAAGGCAGUCCCCUGGGCCUGUACUGACGCUCAUGCACGAAAGCGUGGGGAGCAAACAGG
rnacentral:rRNA from 1 species